CCCCGGUCUCCGCACCUCUGGUCCCUGGGGCGCCGGCUGCGGCCGCAGACGGAGAAGGCGGCGGCGGAGGUACCGACUCGAGCUUGACCAGGGUCAGCGAGAUGAGCUCGGCUGUCUGAGAAGGCGGUGCAAAAUCCAGGACUGGAUUUCCCUCCCAAAUCCUGGGCUGGAUUUCCUAGAACUUGGACUCACCUACUCCAACAAUCUAGCCCCCUCCCCUAGCGCACCACGGGACCCUGGAAUUCAAGGCUCACUGUCCUCUAUCCUGGGGAGAAGGUUGAAGGGGGUAGGCCAAUGGGGAAUGGAGGCUGAGACUUGUCAGGGAGGGACCAGAGUGGUGGGAGGGCUUCCCGCAGGCUUGGAGACCCCUCCCUGGACUCAGGGAGUCUCAGCAUUCCCCUAAUUUGGCAUCCCACCCUCCUGACGCAGCUGAGACUAUAAUAAGUGCUGUCGUGGGCGGCUCUUGGAGGCAGGAGCCCGCAGUGUGCCUGGCCUGGUAGGGGGUGAGGGGGGGGGGUGGAACCAGGAUGCUGGAUGCCCUUUGUUUUCCCUGGGACCCGUACCCAAUCCCUCUCAGGUCCUGUCCUGAGGUCAGCAGCCCCCUCUCCACCCCACUCAAGGAAGACCAUUCCCAGGACAGGGGACCCUUCAGUAACUUUUUCUGAAUUUUCUGGAAGAGAAGGUGAAGGAGAUUUGCUAAUUCUGCCUUAAUUUUCCUUCCUUCCUUUGGUGGCCUCAGUUUUCCUUUCUGUUCAGGGGGAACAGAAUCCUGACUCUUAGAGAAGGAGUGGAACAAAUCACUUAUGAAGACUGGAGUCUUCUGGGAGAUUUCAGCCUUCCCCCCUCCUCACGCCCUCCUCCAGAGCUAAGCAGAACUCCUCCACUGGGACCAAACCUUUUUCCUCCCCCUCUUUUUUUUUUCCUACAGGGAUGGGGCUUGGAGUUCCUCCCUAGGAGGCCCCAUAAGGCCACUCCCCCUAGGUCUGCCUUUCCUCCCACUGAGGCUGUAGGAAAGGUGUCAGCCAUUGUUCUUGGCAAAGGGUGGGGACAGGAGUUGAGAAGGACACUAGCCUCAGAAAGGCAAUGGGAAGGGGAUCAGACUGUCCCCUUAGGAUCCCAAUCCAAAUGUUCCUUCCCCAAGUUAUGGUCUGGGGGCCUCUACCUUCAGAGAGGUCUGGCAGGAGGUGUCCCUGUUGGAGAGAAUGGCCUCUUGAACCACCACCACACCCCAGGUAGGCAACUAAGACUGGAGCAGCUGGGAGACCAGGCUAUGAUGAAGGAUGUAUUUCUCCCAGACACCUUUCAGGAACAACAUAGCUGGCUUUUGUUAGCUCUUUGCCACCUCAGAGGUAAAUGAGAGGAAAGUAGGCUGGAGAUGACUUUCAGUUCCACCAGUUCCUUAGUGCUGGGGCCCUGUGGAUAGAGAGAAACUGUUCCUGCUGGGGCCCCACCACAGGGCUGAAGGCUGGGGUGGGCAGGAGGAUGUGGCGGAUGGUGUUGCCAUGGCAGCACUUCCUCCCUGUGUUGUCAUCACUUGCUCUAAUGGCACUAAGGAGGUAGAGCGGAAGGUGUAUGUGUUGGGGGUGGGGAGAAGGACAGGAACAGGAGCAUGGGGAAGAGAGGGGACCGAAAAGAGUCUUAGGGACUUCUUUACACUUUGGCUAUGCAAAGCAUACAGUCUGAGCGAUAGCAUGUGCCUGAGAGCCUGGGAUUCUCUGCAUGGUGUAUUUCAGUGUGUGUGUGUUUCUCUCUACAGCUGGAGAACAAGAGGUCACCGAUCCUUUGUGGGUCCUGGGAAU